CCUACGGGGGGCUGCAGUGGGGAAUAUUGGACAAUGGGGGGAACCCUGAUCCAGCCAUGCCGCGUGUGUGAAGAAGGCCCUCGGGUUGUAAAGCACUUUCAGUGAGGAAGAACGCCUGGUGGUUAAUACCCAUCAGGAAAGACAUCACUCACAGAAGAAGCACCGGCUAACUCCGUGCCAGCAGCCGCGGUAAUACGGAGGGUGCGAGCGUUAAUCGGAAUUACUGGGCGUAAAGCGCGCGUAGGUGGCUUGAUAAGCCGGUUGUGAAAGCCCCGGGCUCAACCUGGGAACGGCAUCCGGAACUGUCAAGCUAGAGUGCAGGAGAGGAAGGUAGAAUUCCAGGUGUAGCGGUGAAAUGCGUAGAGAUCGGGAGGAAUACCAGUGGCGAAGGCGGCCUUCUGGACUGACACUGACACUGAGGUGCGAAAGCGUGGGUAGCAAACAGGAUUAGAUACCCGAGUAGUC
rnacentral:rRNA from 1 species